GUUGACUUGAGAAAUGACUUGCAAAAUGUAUGACAAAACAGGAAUGGCUCAACUGGAGAAUUUUCUAAUGUAUUUUAACCUAAAUUUGUAUUUUGCCAACUAACUGCAAUUUGCAAUUUUGUAAGUAGACCUCUAGAUAAAAAUAUAUCUAUAUAAUUGAUGAUAAAAACUAGGGUCAUAAAAAAAUAUAGGAUUCUGAAAUCAUAGUUAAAUCGUUAACAUUUCACUGGCAUGAGAUCAUAAUGACACCCAUAAUACAUAUUUUCUUCUGGUUGCUGCAAUACUUCAUUUCAUGGUAACUAAUAUAAGACUUGCAAAAUAUAAUCACCCAGAGAACUUAACUGAGGUCUGACAAUGUUAACUCCAGCCAUUAAAUGACUUGUGAACAGAGUUUGAAAAUCCUCAGCAUUGUUUCUUGUGGUUCAAGUUAAAUUAUUAGGAAAUUAUUUUUUUCUCUCAUUUGAUUGAAAGCCACACAUUUAUUCGUAUUGUAUAUCACCUGUAGAUUGAUGCCAUAGUAGAAUAAUGUACUAUGAAUGAUGACGUACACGUUAAAUUAUCAUGCUUUUAGAUGCAUGUAUGUAUGUAUUUUAUAAUAAAUAAUUACUAACUAAUAGUUACAUAUGCUGAAAGUAGCUGAAAGUGCUUUCUAAUUUUGCAACAUACUAGGAAAAAAAUCCUUCUUGACCCCAGAAUAGCAGUCAGAUCUCUCAUUGGAUAUUCAUCCAGUUACUGUUUAAAAAUAUGUACAUAUUAUGAUAAAAAAAAACGCCUCUGCAGGCAGAGUUUUCGCCAUUGUUCUAAAACCCUUUAAUUUCCCUUAGACUAAAUCUCCCAACUUCCAAUCUAAAUGGGUGAAGUCUUGUCCUAGGUAUUAAUGUUUAUAAAUAAAUUUAUAUUGGUCCUGAAUAAUUUGUACAAUGUUUUAAUAUCCUCUCUGAGGGCUGUUUUUCUAAACUAAAUUUGUUAACCUUUCUUUGUAACUGAAAUUUGAUCAAUUCCUUUUUCUAAUGCCAUAUACAGGCCCGGAAUGGCUAUCGGGCAAACCAGGACAAAUGACCAGUGGGCCACGAUGACCAUGGACCUAGGCCGGCAUAGAGAUCCUCCUAUCUCCCCUGCUGGCCCAUGCAGAGCCGGCACUAUACAAGUGCCAGCCCUGCUGUGUGCCAUGAUGACUGGUGGAUAGCAAAGAUCUCCCUUACUGGUCCACAGGCAGAGAAAACCGUCAGAGGAGGAAGGAGAGGAGGACCCGGGAGCUCUUGUCUGCAGUUCCAUUGGGUCCUGAAGGUUCCUCUCAUGAGUUAAGAGCAUUGUCAUGGUAAUGCUCCAACAGGCUGGAUCUCAUAAGAGUGAACUGCAGGUUAGAGUUCACUAACCACCGGAUCACCAGAGCUUCACAACCUGACCACCAGGGCUUGAGCAAAGUAUCCUCUCUCUGAGCAAAGGUAAGAAGGGAGAGGGAAAUAUAACUUUUAUAUUUAAAAUUAAUUUAAAAAAAUCUUUACUCCCAUCUGCCCCCCCCCACACAAUACCUCCCAACACAUUCACACACAUCACCUCUCACAAACACACACACACACUGCACAACUCACACACACACACAUUGCAUCCCUUACACAAACACGCACUGUACUGCUCACACACUAACACUGCAUCCGUCACACACAUUUAUACUCCACCCAUCACACACACAUAUUGCAUCCCUCACACACACUGUACCCUUCACACACAUACAUUGCAUCCCUCACUCACACACACUGCACCUCUCACACAUAUACACACCACUGGCGGAUCCAGAGCCUUAUCUCGGGAGGGGCACUCAUAGAUUAUUUAAAGAAACAAUCAAGGCACAAUAACCACUGCAGCUCUCUGUAGUGGGUAUGGUGCCAGGAGUGCUGUGGUGCCCUCCCAGAGUAAAUAGUCAAACUGUUUGACAAUUUACCUGGGGUCUGCCAAGAUAUGGUCUGUAGUAGGGGACAGGGCCUCUAGUAAUGUGUGUGUGAUUAGGCAGUGUGUGUGUGUGUGAGUGUGUGCAUGGGAGGCAGUGCAUGUGUGAGGGGUGCAGUGUGUGUAUGUGUGACAGUGUGUGUAUGAGGGUGCAGUGGGAGCAAUGUGCGUAGGAGGGUCAGUGUGUGUUUAUGUGAGGGGUGUAAUGUGUGCAUGGGAGUGCAGUGUGUAUAUGUGGAGUGCAG